GAUGAACGCUGGCGGCGUGCCUAAUACAUGCAAGUCGAGCGAACGGACGAGAAGCUUGCUUCUCUGAUGUUAGCGGCGGACGGGUGAGUAACACGUGGAUAACCUACCUAUAAGACUGGGAUAACUUCGGGAAACCGUAGCUAAUACCGGAUAAUAUUUUGAACCGCAUGGUUCAAAAGUGAAAGACGGUCUUGCUGUCACUUAUAGAUGGAUCCGCGCUGCAUUAGCUAGUUGGUAAGGUAACGGCUUACCAAGGCAACGAUGCAUAGCCGACCUGAGAGGGUGAUCGGCCACACUGGAACUGAGACACGGUCCAGACUCCUACGGGAGGCAGCAGUAGGGAAUCUUCCGCAAUGGGCGAAAGCCUGACGGAGCAACGCCGCGUGAGUGAUGAAGGUCUUCGGAUCGUAAAACUCUGUUAUUAGGUAAGAACAUAUGUGUAAGUAACUGUGCACAUCUUGUCGGUACCUAAUCAGAAAGCCACGGCUAACUACGUG
rnacentral:rRNA from 1 species